AGAGUUUGAUCCUGGCUCAGAUUGAACGCUGGCGGCAGGCCUAACACAUGCAAGUCGAACGGUAACAGGAAGAAGCUUGCUUCUUUGCUGACGAGUGGCGGACGGGUGAGUAAUGUCUGGGAAACUGCCUGAUGGAGGGGGAUAACUACUGGAAACGGUAGCUAAUACCGCAUAACGUCGCAAGACCAAAGAGGGGGACCUUCGGGCCUCUUGCCAUCGGAUGUGCCCAGAUGGGAUUAGCUAGUAGGUGGGGUAACGGCUCACCUAGGCGACGAUCCCUAGCUGGUCUGAGAGGAUGACCAGCCACACUGGAACUGAGACACGGUCCAGACUCCUACGGGAGGCAGCAGUGGGGAAUAUUGCACAAUGGGCGCAAGCCUGAUGCAGCCAUGCCGCGUGUAUGAAGAAGGCCUUCGGGUUGUAAAGUACUUUCAGCGGGGAGGAAGGGAGUAAAGUUAAUACCUUUGCUCAUUGACGUUACCCGCAGAAGAAGCACCGGCUAACUCCGUGCCAGCAGCCGCGGUAAUACGGAGGGUGCAAGCGUUAAUCGGAAUUACUGGGCGUAAAGCGCACGCAGGCGGUUUGUUAAGUCAGAUGUGAAAUCCCCGGGCUCAACCUGGGAACUGCAUCUGAUACUGGCAAGCUUGAGUCUCGUAGAGGGGGGUAGAAUUCCAGGUGUAGCGGUGAAAUGCGUAGAGAUCUGGAGGAAUACCGGUGGCGAAGGCGGCCCCCUGGACGAAGACUGACGCUCAGGUGCGAAAGCGUGGGGAGCAAACAGGAUUAGAUACCCUGGUAGUCCACGCCGUAAACGAUGUCGACUUGGAGGUUGUGCCCUUGAGGCGUGGCUUCCGGAGCUAACGCGUUAAGUCGACCGCCUGGGGAGUACGGCCGCAAGGUUAAAACUCAAAUGAAUUGACGGGGGCCCGCACAAGCGGUGGAGCAUGUGGUUUAAUUCGAUGCAACGCGAAGAACCUUACCUGGUCUUGACAUCCACGGAAGUUUUCAGAGAUGAGAAUGUGCCUUCGGGAACCGUGAGACAGGUGCUGCAUGGCUGUCGUCAGCUCGUGUUGUGAAAUGUUGGGUUAAGUCCCGCAGCGAGCGCAACCCUUAUCCUUUGUUGCCAGCGGUCCGGCCGGGAACUCAAAGGAGACUGCCAGUGAUAAACUGGAGGAAGGUGGGGAUGACAUCAAGUCAUCAUGGCCCUUACGACCAGGGCUACACACGUGCUACAAUGGCGCAUACAAAGAGAAGCGACCUCGCGAGAGCAAGCGGACCUCAUAAAGUGCGUCGUAGUCCGGAUUGGAGUCUGCAACUCGACUCCAUGAAGUCGGAAUCGCUAGUAAUCGUGGAUCAGAAUGCCACGGUGAAUACGUUCCCGGGCCUUGUACACACCGCCCGUCA
rnacentral:rRNA from 1 species